UUUUAAAAACUAAAAAAUUUGCGUAAACUAUUAAAAAAAUUCAGUGAAAACAUAAAAACACAGAAAACAAGAAACUCAAUUUUCUGAAAAGCGGAAUCAAAAUUCUGAAACCAAAAAGUUAUUAUGCUAGUAGUAUAAUCAUCUCCUCCACAACUGCCAAGCCAAGUCUACUGUUAAAACUGGAACAAGUGUUCCAACUUUUAAAUGAAACAAGCCAUUCAAGUUCGUAAGCUUGUCUUGGUGAGAAGUUUAUUUGAGUUUAUUCAAGGGAUUAAUGAGCCAAUCUCUCAAGAAUAUGUUUUGAAACUUUAUUCCUGAAGAAGCCAAACUUGACAAUCACAAACAAAAGUUUUUUAAGCUUUUGAAUAAUUAGUAUUGGUGUCCUGCGGUUAUAGUGAUAUAAUCCCUCAUUAAUUGUAAUUACAAGAACGGCUUCUGAGGCAAUCAUUGUUAAAUAAAUGAGUAAUUAUGAACAAGUUGUGUUGUGUGUUCAGUACAGAAAAGAAAAGAAAUUAGGAGCACUAGACUUUUUGACUCGGAAAUUAUUGUUUACUGUGCUACUCAAGAAACUUGAUUUGACUUGGGAAGAAGGGUUUUGAGUUUUGAAAAUAAGAAAUAGAGGGCUGGUGAAGUACAUGCUAGUUGAGCUUGACUCAAACAUGAUCAUAUUGAGUUUGAUAAAAUAUCUAUCAAAGUUUUUAACUACUUAAUAUUCUGAUUUAUUACAGCCCUCAACUCCAACCAUAUUAAAACUGUGAUAUCUAUCAAUGCCAGUGCAUCUGACCACUUUUCUGCUUCACCUCUGUUUUUGCCACAAUUGUUGCUAGCGUGCUACUACUAUAUCACUAUGUGACUGUCUCAUGGAAAACUUACAAGGCCUUUAGUAGAUUUUCUUCACGUCCUGUCCUUUGCACCAAGGGAUUUUAACUUCUAGAGCAUACGAGUAAUACUAGCUGGAAGGAGUAUCAAAGAAUUACGGAGGUAAUUGUUGAUCCUGGCCUAUAUCUCGUAUCGAAAGGCAGAAUGUUCACCGGCAACAAAAAACGCACCCUGCCCAAUGCAUACAGAUUUUUCACCGGUUCUCCACCCCUGAUUUUGAGCCGGAAGCUUGUUGAGUUUGCCAUCCUCAGAUGGGACAACCUACUGAGAAAACUCCUAUUAUUUUUCUCCAACAUUAAAUACUCACAAGGAGACUACUUUCAGACGCAUGCUUGCAAUUCCAAAGACUUCUCCAAAACUGUUGUCAACUCCAACUUGCGCUUUACUGUAUAUGAUGAUAAUCCUCGAGACCUAAGCGUAACUGAUUUGAAAAAGAUGUUGAGCAGUGGAGCUGCAUUUGCUGGGAAUUUCCGUGCAAACGAUCCAGUUUUGGACAAGAUUGAUUCUCUUCAUAGGACUGCGGGUAUGAUAUUACCAGGAGGUUGGUGUUUGGGUGGGCGAGGAAGGGGCUGAGAUUUGGGGUGACAUGAGUAUUUUAAGAUCGGGCCAGCAUUUGAGAAACUUGAGAAGCUUCUUUCGAGUUUAAUGCAGAACACUACUUUCCAUUCCAUUCAAACCAAUGUGUUUUUAAAGGGUUGUAAUUUGUUUCCAUUUCUUGUAGCACGUUGAAAAUAUCGGGUAGAUUAUAGAUGUAAGAAACUGUAUGAGAGAGUUCAA